rnacentral:rRNA from 1 species
GACGUAGGGUGCGAGCGUUAAUCGGAAUUACUGGGCGUAAAGCGUGCGCAGGCGGUUUUGUAAGCCAGAUGUGAAAGCCCCGGGCUUAACCUGGGAAUGGCAUUUGGGACUGCAAGGCUUGAGUGCGGCAGAGGAGACUGGAAUUCCUGGUGUAGCAGUGAAAUGCGUAGAUAUCAGGAGGAAUACCGAUGGCGAAGGCAGGUCUCUGGGCUGACACUGACGCUCAUGCACGAAAGCGUGGGGAGCAAACAGG